AAUUAGCUUUGUUACUAAAUAAUUGUUUGUUUUUUAUUUUAACAUGUGAAGUUUUGUUUGAUUAUUAAUCCUCUAAAAGGGGAAUAAUUUUUUUAUUUGCAGUUUUUAAUUUUAUAUUUAUUAAUUGGUGUUAGAUUUAGAUAAAAAGAUUUUAGGAGUGCAGGAAGUUGUGCCAGCAUGUGCGGUUAUACAUCUGCUUCAUAACAAUUUUUUAAAAUUACAUUUGUUUUAUAAUUUUAGGAUUAAUAUAUAUUAUUAUUGAGUGAAAUUUUAAUAUUAUUAUUUAUUCUUGGUUUAUUAUUAUAUGUGAAAUUCAGUUUUUAGACUAGGAUUAGAUACCCUAUUAUUCUGAAUGUUAUUUAUUAUUUUAUUAUUAAUAGUUAUGAUCUUUAAAAUAAAAGGGCUUGGCGGUAACUUAAUCUUUUCAGAGGAAUCUGUUCUUUAAUUUGAUAAUCCACGUUGGGUUUUACUUAGAUUUUGGUUUGUAUAUCUCUGUCAUUGAAUGUUUUAUAAGGAACUUUCUUUCAUUUUUAUGAAUUUUAUGUCAAGUCAAGGUGCAGCUAUAUUUAAGGGUGAAAUGGAUUACAUUUAUUUUUAUUAAUUGGAUUAAUUUUUAUGUUAAGAAUUAUGAAAAAGGAUUUGUUAGUAAAUUUUUAUUAUCUUUUAAUAUUGAUUUUAGCUCUAAGUUAUGUACAUAUCGCCCGUCACUCUCACCCUUAGUUAAAGUGAGAUAAGUCGUAACAAAGUAAUUUUACUGGAAAGUGAAGUUUGAUUAUU
rnacentral:ncRNA from 1 species